rnacentral:rRNA from 1 species
AUUGAACGCUGGCGGCAGGCCUAACACAUGCAAGUCGGACGGUAGCACAGAGAGCUUGCUCUCGGGUGACGAGUGGCGGACGGGUGAGUAAUGUCUGGGGAUCUGCCCGAUAGAGGGGGAUAACCACUGGAAACGGUGGCUAAUACCGCAUAACGUCGCAAGACCAAAGAGGGGGACCUUCGGGCCUCUCACUAUCGGAUGAACCCAGAUGGGAUUAGCUAGUAGGCGGGGUAACGGCCCACCUAGGCGACGAUCCCUAGCUGGUCUGAGAGGAUGACCAGCCAAACUGGAACGGGGAACCGGUCCAGCCUCCUACGGGAGGCAGCAGUGGGGAAUAGUGCACAAUGGGCGCAAGCCUGAUGCAGCCAUGCCGCGUGUAUGAAGAAGGCCUUCGGGUUGUAAAGUACUUUCAGCGGGGAGGAAGGCGAUGUGGUUAAUAACCGCAUUGAUUGACGUUACCCGCAGAAGAAGCACCGGCUAACUCCGUGCCAGCAGCCGCCGUAA